CGCCCAGACUGUGCUUCCUGGGGAGCUCGCCCCACUCGCGCUGCUGCUCCUCGUGCACGAGGCGCGUAAAGAUGUUGGUCCUCCGCCGCUCCUUCCGCUUGGAGUGGAAGUAGCCCAGCAUGAUGCCGCACAGGAACACUCCGUAGAAGGACAUGACGAUUAGAACGUACAGCUUCUCAAUCUCAUUCCGGUAAUAGGUCUCCAGCUCCUUCCGCUUGAGCUUGAAUGCAUCCGUCACCAGUCCAGUCUCGGCGGUCCAAGGGUCUGGACUCAGAUGGAUCUUGCCAGGGAUCUCAAAGCUCACAAGAUCGGCUGCAACAGAAUAAAAUGGAACGCAGGAGACUACGGUCCAUCCAGACCCACACCUCCCACCACCUGAACAGUUUUUUCCCCUCGGCCAUCAGGCACAUGAACAAUAACAAGAUCUGAUGGCUCAGGCACAGCUCAUUUUAUUACCUAUUCUGUGUUAUGUGUUUUAUGUUGCACGAUUGCACCAAGAAAAAUUCCUAGUUUGUGAACCCGUUGUCAAACAAUGGCAAUAAAAACUAUUCUGAUUCUGA